UAGGGAAUCUUCCACAAUGGACGCAAGUCUGAUGGAGCAACGCCGCGUGAGUGAAGAAGGUUUUCGGACCGUAAAGCUCUGUUGUUGGUGAAGAAGGAUAGAGGUAGUAACUGGCCUUUAUUUGACGGUAAUCAACCAGAAAGUCACGGCUAACUACGUGCCAGCAGCCGCGGUAAUACGUAGGUGGCAAGCGUUGUCCGGAUUUAUUGGGCGUAAAGCGAGCGCAGGCGGAAUGAAUAAGUCUGAUGUGAAAGCCCUCGGCUUAACCGAGGAAUUGCAUUGGAAACUGUUUUCUUGAGUGCAGAAGAGGAGAGUAGAACUCCAUGUGUAGCGGUGGAAAUGCGUAGAUAUAUGGAAGAAUACCAGUGGCGAAGGCGGCUCUCUGGUCUGCAACUGACGCUGAGGCUCGAAAGCAUGGGUAGCGAACAGGAUUAGAUACCCUGGUAGUCCAUGCCGUAAACGAUGAGUGCUAAGUGUUGGGAGGCUUCCGCCUCUCAGUGCUGCAGCUAACGCAUUAAGCACUCCGCCUGGGGGCAGUACGACCGCAAGGUUGAAAC
rnacentral:rRNA from 1 species